UUGCAUUUCAUUUUAAUUUUUCUUAGAACGAUGCUGCUGUUGCUGCUUCUCACUCAAUCAGGCCUUGAUGUCAACUCUGCGCUUGCUUUUCUCCAAUGAAGGCUUCAGCGAAACAAGUUGGUUGAAGUGAAGCUUGCUCAGCAAAGGGAUCUUCAGGCUGGAACCACACCCUAACAUUUGUCUCCCAGGAUUGUAUAGCUGAUCUGAGCAGUAUAUGACUCACAAAAUUGAUUACAUGUGUUUCAGAGGUUGGAAGAUAAAAUAUAGUUUUUGGUCAUUGAGAUCCAUGGUCAACACAGAUGAAUAUUUUAGGAUAGGAACUUACUGCUGAUGUUGAAGUGUCAGAAAGAAUAUAUUUGCAAGCUCGCAUUGAGGAAAUUGUCUCAGCGUGUUUAUAGCUGGGAGAAAAUGUUAUGUUGGAAUAUUCAUUAGACGUUGUGCUUCCUUGUUAGUUUUAGUAUUUUAGGUGUUAUGGCUGUUUCUUCUAAUUUUAAUUCUUUCCUUACGUAAACUACAUGUGAAUUUAUGGUGCAGGCUACUGAUCCUCUACAGAAGAACCUGGAUAAUGCUAAAGCCAGUUUAGAAGUUUUUUUUGCUGAUCUACAGUUCUCAAGGGACCAGGUUACAGUAACCCAGGUCAGAUUGCCAAUUGUCAGGUACCCCAUAUCUGUCUGCAUUUGCUGCAUCUACCCGUCAAACUAAAUCAAUGGUAUCAGACUUGCAUUGCAUGGCAAAGAAUUGCAAGCACUUCACUACCUCUUAGGGAGUGCUUCGUAGGAUGGGUGAAAAAAUAAAUGGUAGGAAAUAUAGAAGGGAGUGAAAAUCGAGAGGAGAGGAAUUGAUGGGAGAGUUUUAAUAUCACAUUUUUACUUUCAUCUCUAUAUUUGGAAAAAAUAUAUUUUUAAAAGCAUGACAAAUAUUGCCAUUCGCAAAUUAUCAUUGUCAAUGUUGUAAACCCUCUUGGUAUCAAAAUCGAUUCCCACAUAUUAAAAAAAAAGUGACAAACUCAUCGGUUUCUUCUUUUAUUCUUAGUUAUUAAGCAAGCACAAUUUUUUGUUGUGCAGUUGUUGCUAAUUUGCAUCUCCUAAUUGACAUGAAUUAGUUGUAGUUCUCGAUCUUUUUUCUUUCUUUCUAUAUUUGAUCAGGUUAUAAUUGUUGUUCAUAAUCGGAGAAUUCAACCAGCUGUUGCCACAACGACUCGAGACUAGGAAAGAAAAUUUUAUACCUGCUUCUAAAGCUAGGGAUUUUAUUACAUGAUUAAUUUACUAGUCUCUGUAACGCGUUUGGAAAGAUACCAUAUCCUGGUCCAUGGACCAUUGGCAUGUUUUAUUCAGUGCAAUCACAUGGGUGUUUUUUUAUU